UUCGUAUGUUUUUUUGGCAGAACCUGGAAUGAAGAAUAGAUGUGAUAAAUUGUGCUGUAUCAGGUUGGGUGCAGUUCCCUACUGUCCAGCGUUCUCUCUGUUCCCUAUCCUGUCUUGCAGAGAUGAGGUGGAGGCAUUACAAAGGGAGAAAUUUUACUGUUUGUGGUCAAACAGUAUUCAGGAUGUCAUUACCAGUUUCACCUAAGUCUUCUUUCCAAAAUGCUAUUAUAUAAUUUCUCUGCAGAAAUUCCGCUUAACACCCAGCCUUCCAGACUUUGCUGUCGCACUUGUUUUAAACCUUGUCUUUGUACUAAUUACACAGCAAUGACGGAGAAUUACUUUUUCCCUUAAAAAUAAAACUGCCCCAAAUUUCA
rnacentral:lncRNA from 1 species